GGCGGCGCGGAGUCCUCCCGGAUCGCUGCAAUGGGCAGACACAGAGCGCAAAGUGGCGGACUUGGGCGGCCACAGGUAACUUUCUCGCAAGGCGCUGAAUUCUUUCACUAAAGGGUACAAGCCCGAGGGCCGAGCUGCGCGGUGAUUGGCUGCGGUGCUCCCUCAGGUGAGCUGCCAUUGGCAGAGGCGCGCUCAGGUAAGGCCCUUCUCCAAGUGCAGGUCACUCACUGCGAAGUUUACCUGAGUGGAGCGGUGGCACGCUGGAGACUCUGCGAGCUGACUUCUACCCACUUUUGGCUUUCUUCCCUGACUAGGGGCAGGGUAGAGGUGAUGGGAGAGACGGAGCGGGGAGCGCCACUACAGACACUAGGUACCGUGGGUCAAACCGAAGGACGACAGAAUGCUGAACCCAGAAAUCAACAAGCCACCCGGAACCAAAUGGCCAGUUCACCACCUGCCACUUGACACUCGCGGGACGAAAACUGUGUGGCGGGCAGAAGAGUCAGGGAACUAGAGUUACGCUAUGCUGAGUGGGAAAGGAACGGAUUGCCGGGUCUCUUGCGUAAUUGCAUUGUUAGCAUUCUUAUCCACAACAAACUCUUCUCCUGCUCUGAUGCAUAGAAGAUAGCAGGUCGUUUUCAGUUUUCAACUAGUCGAGCGACCUUUCCUGAACUGGAUCUAUGAAGUGCGGCGUGGCUUUAAUGGAGAAAGGAGAUUCGGUUGAAUAGACUCUUAAGGUGGCCCGGGCGCACCUCUUGCAUCUCUCCGCAGCCUGGGAUUCCUGCGCUGCGGAACAACUACUGCAUCUGUUCCAUAAGCCUGUCGCCCGUUGACAUUUCUAGGCAAGCAUCAACAUUUACAUUGUAAUUCAAUAGAAGCAGCUACUACAAAGGCUCUUUAUCCUUGCAGUUUAAUAUGGUUGCCAGGGGAACAACGCAGGAUGAAAGUGACUUGUUUGUGUGGGUUCUCUUCUGGUCCGGAACAGUGCGAAGUAGCCAGGUGUCAUUUAUAAUCGCUGCUACGAGAAUUAAGUAUUUGUGGGAGUUCUGACAGGGAUCUAGCCCAUACAUGAGCGUGGUGGAAAUACAGGAGGGUAUGGAAAGCUUUGCCACAUUUAUGUCAAGUCAACACUGGAGCACUGGAGCUGUCAGAUUUGACACAACUUCUGUAUUAAACCUUUGCAGGUCACAUGAUUUGGGGGAAUUAAAUUACGGCACUAGG
rnacentral:lncRNA from 1 species